ACGAAUGGCGUAACGACUUCCCCGCUGUCUCCAACAUAGACUCAGUGAAAUUGAAUUGCCUGUCAAGAUGCAGGCUUCCCGCGGUUAGACGGAAAGACCCCGUGCACCUUUACUACAACUUUACACUGAUAACAGGCACAACAUGUGCAGAAUAGGUGGUAGGCUUUGAAGCAGAAACGCCAGUUUUUGUGGAGCCUCCUUUGAGAUACCACCCUUGUUUUGCUUGUUAUCUAACUGCGGUCCGUUAUCCGGAUCCAGGACCCUGUAUGGUGGGUAGUUUGACUGGGGCGGUCGCCUCCUAAAGCGUAACGGAGGCGCGCGAAGGUUGGCUCAGAGCGGUCGGAAAUCGCUCGUUGAGUGCAAUGGCAGAAGCCAGCCUGACUGCGAGACUGACAAGUCGAGCAGAGUCGAAAGACGGCCAUAGUGAUCCGGUGGUCCCGAGUGGAAGGGCCAUCGCUCAACGGAUAAAAGGUACGCCGGGGAUAACAGGCUGAUGGUGCCCAAGAGUCCAUAUCGACGGCACCGUUUGGCACCUCGAUGUCGGCUCAUCUCAUCCUGGGGCUGGAGCAGGUCCCAAGGGUACGGCUGUUCGCCGUUUAAAGAGGUACGUGAGCUGGGUUUAGAACGUCGUGAGACAGUUCGGUCCCUAUCUGCCGUGGGUGUAGGAUACUUGAGAGGAGUUGCCCCUAGUACGAGAGGACCGGGGUGAACGAUCCACUGGUGGACCAGUUGUCGACUACGGCAGUGCUGGGUAGCUAUGAUCGGACAGGAUAACCGCUGAAAGCAUCUAAGCGGGAAGCCCCCCUCAAAACAAGGUAUCCCUGAGGACCGAGGUAGACCACCUCGUCGAUAGGCCAGAGGUGUAAGCGUGGUAACACGUUCAGCUGACUGGUACUAAUGGUCCGAUAGGCUUGAUUUG
rnacentral:rRNA from 1 species